rnacentral:lncRNA from 1 species
CUUCCCCGCGGGCACAAGCAUCGGGCUGGGCGCGGCGCAGGCCCUCGAAUCUGUUGGUAGCCGGAGCUCCGCCCAGCACUGCUGGAGCCACCAGAAUGAGGCGCCGACGCGAGCUCCACCAGCCCCCCUGCUUCUUCUCGCAUGCGCGGGAGGAAGGGGACAGACCUACCACGUGGGGCACGCGUGUAAGCGGCACAGCGGCCGGGCCCCCGUUUAAGUAGACACGACUCUCCCCCUAUACGCCUCCCCUGCUUCGAAAGCAUAGUCCAGCGGAGGCGCCUUCGACGUGGCCGCUGUGGCCAGGCCGAGCUGCUGGAGUGGCCCAUUCGCCUAUCCUGCGCCCUUUACGCAGUAUAGCCCAAUUGGGUAUACCUUUUCUUUCCUCUUUAUAUUUUUUUAGCGAAACUUCUAAAAUACAUAGAAAAUUCAUAUUAGCUCCAAAUUAGGCGAUUCAAAUUUCUGUAGGUUCCUAAAAUCAGGAUCUAUUCCAAUAUGUGCAUUGCACAUUUUUCAGGGAUAUUUUGUGUAGAUAUCAAAUUCAAAUAUGAAUUUUAUUUAUUCAAAACUCACUUUGCAAAAAUCCUUGAGGACUCAAAUCAACUCCAAACGGAGUGAUUCCAAUUUCUAGAGACUUCUAAUAUCAUGCACUAUUUUACAGCAUUAGUCAACAUUUUUUCUGUGUCAUGUUUCUAUUGCAUCAAAUAAAUAGCCCAUUUUUUCUAUUUAUUCAAUGAUAGAAAAUCCAGAGGAAAUUUAUGUAAACU